rnacentral:lncRNA from 12 species
GAGCAGGACCCAGCAGGAGGGGCUGGGCCUGAGCCUGGAGGGAAAGUCUGAUUUUCAACGCUUAGGCAUGCCAAACGGUUUACUUUCAGAUGUUUUCUUCUUCCCUCUUACUGGCUGGUCCCUCCCUCCCUUCCCAGGUCACUUAAAAGACAUUCCCUCAAGAGCAAAGAGAAAAGACAUCCCAUCAAGGACGAAGAGCGGAGACAUCCCAUCAAGAGCAAAGGAGAAGUGAUGGAAGAGUUGAGUGUCAAACCCCAGCAACGUCAUCACAUUUAAUCCUUCUGAGGCCUGGCCUCAAGACUCCUCCAGACUCGUACAGCCUCUCCUCCCACUGCCAGGCUCCCCGUGUUGGCCGCAGUGUGGCACGGAGUGCCUGCGCUAUUUAUUUCCUAAUAAAAAGACAGCCUGGGUGGCCCAUGGAGAUUAAGACAGAGAUCUACUAUGAGAUGAUUAACCAUAAAAUCACAGGUGAAAUCAACAUCAGACAGGAGGAUGAGGAGGCGGAGGAGGGGGAAGGGGAGGUAGAGGAUGGGGAGGAGGGGGAGGAGGAUGAGGAGGAAGAGGAGGGGGAGGAAGAGAAGGGGAGGAAGGGAAAGAGGAUGGGGAGGAGGGGGAGGAGGAAGAGAAGGAACCUUUUCUGAUAAAAUGACUAUGUGAGGGAGGGGGGA